rnacentral:lncRNA from 1 species
AUUCAGCAAAGAUGCAGACCUUGAAGAUAGCUGACAUAUGGAAACUGUUAGAAUGAGAUUAGAAGCUGCCAACAACCUUCAAUCAUCAUUACUCACAGUGAGUCCUGAUGAGUAAUGGGAUGAUCAGUUAGUUGUACCUCCAAGUACAUGGAGGAUACUCUCAAAGAGAGAGAGAGCUGAGCCUCCAGAGGCUGAAGGACUGUCAGAUGGAGUCUGAACUCCUUGUUCAACUGAAGAUCAACAAUCUUGAAAAACAGAAACUGCAUUGUGGGAUGACAUGAAUUCUCAAAGGAUCAGAACUGGACGCUGGGACAAGCCAUGAAUGGAGAAGAGAAGACCUUGAGGAGAGAAGAGUCAGGGAGGAAAGAAAAAUAAGGGACAAAAUAUAGCAGUAAGGAACAUUUUUGAUGAUUCCAGAUAGGCCUGGAAAUCAAGAUUCCUCAUGGCCCUGCUUAUAAAAGGGUAUCAGGGACUGGCAUCUUGGAGAGCACUCAGUGGAUAAUCAAUAGAUACUUACUGACCGAAUGACUGAUCGACUAAUGCACUUUUCAUUUGGAUUCCAAGUGCAG